rnacentral:rRNA from 1 species
AUCGUAGGUGGCUUGUUAAGUCGGAUGUGAAAUCCCGGGGCUCAACCCCGGAACUGCAUCCGAUACUGGCAGGCUUGAGUUCGGGGAGGGGGAUGCGGAAUUCCGUGUGUAGCAGUGAAAUGCGUAGAUAUACGGAGGAACACCUGAGGCGAAGGCGGCAUCCUGGACCGAUACUGACACUGAGGAUCGAAAGCGUGGGUAGCAAACA